rnacentral:rRNA from 1 species
AUUGAACGCUGGCGGCAGGCCUAACACAUGCAAGUCGAACGAGUGGCGGACGGGUGAGUAAUGUCUGGGAAACUGCCUGAUGGAGGGGGAUAACUACUGUAAACGGUAGCUAAUACCGCAUACCAUCAGAUGUGCCCAGGUGGGAUUAGCUAGUUGGUGGGGUAACGGCUCACCAAGGCGACGAUCCCUAGCUGGUCUGAGAGGACGACAAGCAACACUGGAACUACGACACGGUCCAGACGCCUACGGGAGGCAGCAGUGGGGAAUGUUGCACAAUGGGCGCAAGCCUGAUGCAGCAAUGCCGCGUGUAUGAAGAAGGCCUGCGGGUUGUAAAGUACUUUCGGCAGGGAGGCGGUACCCGCAGAAGAAGCACCGGCUAACUCCGUGCCAGCAGCCGCGGUAAUAC